rnacentral:rRNA from 1 species
UACUAGAGUAGCACUCGCAUAUCAAUAAGCGGAGGAAAAGAAACUAACAAGGAUUCCCCUAGGUAACGGCGAGUGAAGCGGGAAGAGCUCAAAUUUGAAAUCUUAAAGGGUUUCCCUUUACGAAUUGUAGUUUAAAGAAGUGUUUUCUGUUGAGGUUUUGGUAAAAGUUCUUUGGAAUAGGACAUCAUAGAGGGUGAGAAUCCCGUAUUUGACCUUUACUUUCAACUUUGUGAUACACUUUCAAAGAGUCGGAUUGUUUGGGAAUGCAGUCCAAAAUGGGUGGUAAAUUUCAUCUAAAGCUAAAUAUUGGCGAGAGACCGAUAGCGAACAAGUACCGUGAGGGAAAGAUGAAAAGAACUUUGAAAAGAGAGUUAAACAGUACGUGAAAUUGUCAAAAGGGAAGCGUUUGACACCAGUGUUGUUUUUCUGAAAAUCAAUUAAAGAACUGUUUAUGCUAAGCUGUUUAGACUUUAUCAGCUAUCUGUUUAGUUUUAGGCUUUUCUUUAAUGCACUUUUCAGUUAACAAGUCAACAUCAAUUUCUUUUGCUGUAAAAAAGCUUGAGGAAGGUGGCUUGAGAUUCGUCUUAAGUGUUUAUAGCCUCUUGCCUAUGCAGUCGGAGAGAUUGAGGUCUGCAGCGUAGAUCCUUCGGGGCUAAAUGCAUUUGUGCUAAGUUAUAGCAUUUUAUAGACAACUUGUUGACUAUGAUUUGUCUUGUAGCUUACUCGCUUAUGUUAUUUUACCUACGCUUAGGAUGUUGAGCGCAUGUCUCUCUCU